rnacentral:rRNA from 1 species
UGGAUCCAGACUUUGAUUAUGGCUCAGGAUGAACGCUAGCGACAGGCCUAACACAUGCAAGUCGAGGGGCAGCGGUUUGGUAGCUUGCUACCGAAGCCGGCGACCGGCGCACGGGUGAGUAACGGGUAUGCAAUCUGUCCGUAAGCGCGGGAUAGCCCACUGAAAGGUGGAUUAAAACCGCAUGUGUCACCGGGAGGCAUCUCCUGGUGAUGAAACUUUAGGUUUACGGGUGAGCAUGCUUCUGAUUAGUUAGUUGGCGGGGUAACGGCCCACCAAGGCGACGAUCAGUAGGGGUCCUGAGAGGGAGAUCCCCCACAUUGGAACUGAGACACGGUCCAAACUCCUACGGGAGGCAGCAGUGAGGAAUAUUGGUCAAUGGGCGAGAGCCUGAACCAGCCAAGUCGCGUGAAGGAUGAAGGUUCUAUGGAUUGUAAACUUCUUUUGUCCGAGGGUAAAGUGUGGUACGCGUACCAUAUUGCAAGUAUCGGACGAAUAAGCAUCGGCUAACUCCGUGCCAGCAGCCGCGGUAAUACGGAGGAUGCGAGCGUUAUCCGGAUUUAUUGGGUUUAAAGGGUGCGUAGGCGGGCUGUUAAGUCAGCGGUGAAAGUUUGCGGCUCAACCGUAAAAUUGCCGUUGAAACUGGUAGUCUUGAGUGUAAAUGAGGUAGGCGGAAUGUGACAUGUAGCGGUGAAAUGCUUAGAUAUGUCCCAGAACUCCGAUUGCGAAAGCAGCUUACUAAGAUACAACUGACGCUGAGGCACGAAAGCGUGGGUAUCAAACAGGCUCAGAUACCCUGGUAGUCCACGCAGUAAACGAUGAAUACUAGCUGUUUGCGAUAUAAUGUAAGCGGUACAGCGAAAGUGUUAAGUAUUCCACCUGGGGAGUACGCCGGCAACGGUGCAACUCAAAUGAAUUGACGGA